GCCUGGGUGGCUUAGUAGGUUGAGCAUCUGACUCUUGAUUUUGGCUCAGGUCAUGAUCUUAGGGUGGUGGGAUCAAGCCCUGCCUCAGGCU
rnacentral:tRNA from 1 species